rnacentral:lncRNA from 1 species
AACAAUUAUCGCUGCACUGGAAAUGUAUCCUCACUACAGGUACUAUCCUUAUCAAAUAAUUAAAAAAAAUUAAAGGGGCUAAACCGGAAUUCAAAGAAGAAAAUUAAUGAAUUAAUAUCAAGAAUUCAAAACGCCUUGUUCUUGAUUUAAAACCAAGAUAUUUAUGAGUUGGCAUGUUAGAGAAACAUUUUUCUUCUUUUCCUAGAAAAUCCUUAUAAUUUCAUCCUAGUGAAUAUCCAGAAUCUUCAACUUGUUACUAAUUUGUAUUAUUUUAUGGAAUAUUAAUUUGUUUACAGAUACCAUGAUAAAGAGUUCAGAAGACGUGUUAACUUCUAGAGAAUUGUUGUUCAAAAAGAAAAACUUAAAAGAGAAUUUGGCUACAGAAAAUGGGAUUUCAGAGUUGGGAUAACAUCAAUUAGAAGUUAAAGAAGAAAAGUUGGCCUACCUUAGUUUUGGCUUCUUCUCUCCUUAUAAGAAGCAGGGCC